rnacentral:tRNA from 1 species
GGGUAGUUGGUUUAGUAGUAUAAUUCUUGCUUAGGGUGCGAGAGGACUCGAGUUCAAUUCUCAGAAUGCCCC